rnacentral:rRNA from 1 species
UGGGGAAUAUUGGACAAUGGGCGAAAGCCUGAUCCAGCCAUGCCGCGUGUGUGAAGAAGGCCCUCGGGUUGUAAAGCACUUUCAGCGAGGAAGAACGCCUAGGGGUUAAUACCCCCUAGGAAAGACAUCACUCGCAGAAGAAGCACCGGCUAACUCCGUGCCAGCAGCCGCGGUAAUACGGAGGGUGCAAGCGUUAAUCGGAAUUACUGGGCGUAAAGCGCGCGUAGGUGGCUUGAUAAGCCGGUUGUGAAAGCCCCGGGCUCAACCUGGGAACGGCAUCCGGAACUGUCAAGCUAGAGUGCAGGAGAGGAAGGUAGAAUUCCCGGUGUAGCGGUGAAAUGCGUAGAGAUCGGGAGGAAUACCAGUGGCGAAGGCGGCCUUCUGGACUGACACUGACACUGAGGUGCGAAAGCGUGGGUAGCAAACA